rnacentral:tRNA from 1 species
UCCCUGGUAGCUCAGACUGUAAACCAUCUGCCUGCAAUGCAGGAGACCUGGGUUCAAUCCCUUGUUUGGGAA